AAGUCGUAACAAGGUUUCCGUAGGUGAACCUGCGGAAGGAUCAUUAACACGUAUCCAACGUAAAAAACCCCCCUGUGAACAUUCAAACCUGCUCUCGUAGCCCAGUGCGAUCCAGCAAUCCCGGUAAAUCAUUGUCGAACAGUAUUGAUUCGGGACUUAGUUACGAUUGAGCGGAGAUAGCUGCAUGGCAUCCCGAAGCAGUCAGUGUCUGAAAGUGUCAUUGAUUGUCUAAGGAUCUCGCCUCAACGAUUGCCAGAGGUCGCUCACCGACCGGCAGACAUGCAACCGGGUCCCCACGCCCCUUUACAACCCCAUUACCUCUGUGAGUCGCGGGAAACUAGCGGCUAAAAAACCUCGAACAACUGUUAACAAUGGAUAUCUUGGUUCUC
rnacentral:misc_RNA from 1 species